rnacentral:lncRNA from 1 species
UGGCAGCCACCCGUACCGGGCAGUCAGGUACCCGCUGUCCGGCUCCCGCCGGCUUCCCGGAAGCCAACGACCAGGACAAGGACAAAGAUCAAAAAGCCAAAAAGAUCCCCUAAACUCCCGGGAAAGUAGCCCAGCCGCUUUUGCUCGGUUCAAAUAUCGCGCCUCCACCAAUGGGAGCUCCCGGAACCUCCUCGCUACAGCACCAACCAGCGAGGAGAAACCCGCCCACAUCACUAAAAAGAGCCAAUGAGCGAACGAAAGCGCCUGGCCAAUGAGGAAGCGGCGCCUUGUUUAAACGAUGGUGGGGUUGUCAGGGUUACCUGGGGCAAAAACAAAACAGGGCAGCAAAUUUCCCCGACUCUACGAGCCGGUCAAUUAGAACGGAAAUUAGCCUUGGUGUUUUAAACACUUUGCGGGGAAGAAAAGGGUAUCAUAACUGUCCAACCCACGGCUGCAUGCGGUCCUGAAUAGCUGAGUGCAACUUGUGAACAAGUUCCUGGAAAGAAGUGGCAUCUUCAACUGGUUCCUAGUGGUGAGAGUUGUAUCUGGCUACUUCGAAAUAAUGACCAAACAGUAAGAUGAUUUGAUGGGAAAUAUACCAGGAGAAAAAAGUUAUCCUUUAAUCUGGCUCGUUUCCUAAAUAUCACUGAGAUGCUUUUACAGAAAGGAUUUCAAACAAACAUUAUGAAGGGGUGAUCAACAAAUGUCAAACUACUAAAACCUAGCAAGCAUACACAGAAAGCACUGAGGAAACAGCAGUACAAAGUACAACGUACCUGAGUGUAUUUUUUUGUGCUUUGUAAGGUGGUCAUGGCGAAUAAACGUUUUCCCGCAUUCAUCACACUCAUAUCUCUUGUCAUCGUGAUGCACUCGCAAGUGAAGCCUACAGAGAUAAAGGAACAGAAACUGCUGAACCUGCUAUAGAGAGAAAAUACUUGAUUUUGAAUAAAUGAUGAAAA